UACGUAGGGUGCGAGCGUUGUCCGGAAUUAUUGGGCGUAAAGAGCUCGUAGGCGGUUUGUCGCGUCUGCUGUGAAAACUCGGGGCUUAACCCCCGGGCCUGCAGUGGGUACGGGCAGACUAGAGUGCGGUAGGGGAGACUGGAAUUCCUGGUGUAGCGGUGAAAUGCGCAGAUAUCAGGAGGAACACCGGUGGCGAAGGCGGGUCUCUGGGCCGUAACUGACGCUGAGGAGCGAAAGCAUGGGGAGCGAACAGG
rnacentral:rRNA from 1 species